rnacentral:rRNA from 1 species
CAAUAGCGUAUAUUAAAGUUGUUGCAGUUAAAAAGCUCGUAGUUGGAUUUCUGGUCGGAAACUCCUGUCCUCUGAUGAGCGUACAAGUGCGUCCUACCAUCCUUCUGUUAACCUUUAAGGCUUUCGCGGCUUUCUAGGGGCUCAGAUAUUUUACCUUGAGAAAAUUAGAGUGUUUCAGGCAGGCUAGCGCCGGAAUACAUUAGCAUGGAAUAAUGGAAUAGGACUUUUGCCUCUUCUGUUGGUCAUGAGGCUCGAGUAAUGAUUAAUAGGGAUAGUUGGGGGCAUUAGUACUUAACUGUCAGAGGUGAAAUUCUCGGAUUUGUUAAAGACUAACUUAUGCGAAAGCAUUUGCCAAGGAUGUUUUCAUUAA